UGUUCCUACGGGACGCAGCAGUGAGGAAUAUUGGUCAAUGGCCGGAAGGCUGAACCAGCCAAGCCGCGUGAGGGAGGAAGGCGCAGAGCGUCGCAGACCUCUUUUGCCGGGGGACAAAAGGCCGGACUCGUCCGGUCCUGAGGGUACCCGGAGAAAAAGCAUCGGCUAACUCCGUGCCAGCAGCCGCGGUAAUACGGAGGAUGCGAGCGUUAUCCGGAUUUAUUGGGUUUAAAGGGUGCGCAGGCGGACCAUCAAGUCAGCGGUAAAAUCGUGGGGCCCAACCCCAUCCCGCCGUUGAAACUGGC
rnacentral:rRNA from 1 species